rnacentral:rRNA from 1 species
CCUACGGGAGGCAGCAGUGGGGAAUAUUGCACAAUGGGGGGAACCCUGAUGCAGCGACGCCGCGUGAGUGAAGAAGUAUUUCGGUAUGUAAAGCCCUAUCAGCAGGGAAGAAAAUGACGGUACCUGACUAAGAAGCACCGGCUAACUACGUGCCAGCAGCCGCGGUAAUACGGAGGGGGCAAGCGUUACUCGGAUUUACUGGGAGUAAAGGGAGCGUAGACGGGUAUGCAAGUCAGAAGUGAAAGCCCAGGGCUCAACCAUGGGACUGCUUUGGAAACUGUAAAACUUGAGUGCAGGAGAGGUAAGCGGAAUUCCUAGUGUAGCGGUGAAAUGCGUAGAUAUUAGGAGGAACA